rnacentral:rRNA from 1 species
GGGGGGGGGGGGGGGGGGGGGGGGGGGGGGGGGGGCGGGGGGCGGGGGGGGGGGCGGGGUGGGGGCGGGUGGCGGACGGGGGGGUGAUGUAGCGGAGCGGGCCCGGUAGCGGGGGAUAACUACGCGAAAGCGUAGCUAAUACCGCAUACGCCCUACGGGGGAAAGCAGGGGAUCGUAAGACCUUGCACUAUUGGAGCGGCCGAUAUCGGAUUAGCUAGUUGGUGAGGUAACGGCUCACCAAGGCGACGAUCCGUAGCUGGUUUGAGAGGACGACCAGCCACACUGGGACUGAGACACGGCCCAGACUCCUACGGGAGGCAGCAGUGGGGAAUUUUGGACAAUGGGGGCAACCCUGAUCCAGCCAUCCCGCGUGUGCGAUGAAGGCCUUCGGGUUGUAAAGCACUUUUGGCAGGAAAGAAACGUCGCGGGCUAAUACCCCGUGGAACUGACGGUACCUGCAGAAUAAGCACCGGCUAACUACGUG